AGAUUAUCUGGUUUAUAAACUGGACACACAACAGUCACUGAACAAGGAGAAGCAAGAAUUCAACGGCAGAUUCAAUUCUCUACAUGUCCAACAUCAGAUGCUAAAGAACCAGCAUGACGACCUGAAGAAGCAGUAUUACGGUCUUCAGGAGCAGCACCAGGUUGAGGGCGACGACCACAAUCGGCUGCUGGACGAACACAAAGAGCACUACGAGAAACUGAACCAGGCUAAAGAAGGAGAAAUCACCCACCUCAAAGGUACGGUCGGACGGUCACUCAG